UACGUAGGGUGCGAGCGUUAAUCGGAAUUACUGGGCGUAAAGCGUGCGCAGGCGGUUCGUUGUGUCCGAUGUGAAAGCCCCGGGCUUAACCUGGGAAUGGCAUUGGAAACUGGCGAGCUUGAGUGCGGCAGAGGGGGGUGGAAUUCCGCGUGUAGCAGUGAAAUGCGUAGAGAUGCGGAGGAACACCGAUGGCGAAGGCGACUCUUUGGUCUGUAACUGACGCUGAGGCGCGAAAGCGUGGGGAGCAAACAGG
rnacentral:rRNA from 1 species